rnacentral:rRNA from 1 species
UACGUAGGGUGCAAGCGUUAAUCGGGAUUACUGGGCGUAAAGCGUGCGCAGGCGGCUUUGCAAGACAGAUGUGAAACUCCCGGGCUUAACCCGUGGGAACUGCAUUUGUGACUGCAUGGCUGGGAGUGCGGGCAGAGGGGGAUGGAAUUCCGCGUGUAGCAGUGAAAUGCGUAGAUAUGCGGAGGAACACCGAUGGCGAAGGCAAUCCCCUGGGCCUGCACUGACGCUCAUGCACGAAAGCGUGGGGAGCAAACAGG